AGCGAACGCUGGCGGCAGGCUUAACACAUGCAAGUCGAAACGGAUCCUUCGGGAUUAGUGGCGGACGGGUGAGUAACACGUGGGAACGUGCCUUUUGGUUCGGAACAACACAGGGGAAACUUGUGCUAAAUACCGGAUGUGCCCUUCGGGGAAGGAUUUAUCGCCAUUAGAGCGGCCCGCGUCUAGAUUAGCUAGUUGGUGAGGUAAAGG
rnacentral:rRNA from 1 species